AGUCCUGUGGUCUAGUGGUAGUAGGUUCAGCCUUACUCUCUUAAAAGAAACCCUAACUAACAAAAGGCAGUGACGUCCGCCUCACAUUCGUCACGUGAUUGUGGCUUUGCGCGCGGCAGGUCCCGGGUUCGAUCCCCGGCGGGACUA